UCGAGCGCACCUUCGGGUGAGCGGCGGACGGGUUAGUAACGCGUGGGAACAUACCCUUUGGUACGGAAUAGCCUCUGGAAACGGAGAGUAAUACCGUAUGAGCCCUUCGGGGGAAAGAUUUAUCGCCAAAGGAUUGGCCCGCGUUAGAUUAGGUAGUUGGUGGGGUAAUGGCCUACCAAGCCUACGAUCUAUAGCUGGUUUUAGAGGAUGAUCAGCAACACUGGGACUGAGACACGGCCCAGACUCCUACGGGAGGCAGCAGUGGGGAAUCUUGGACAAUGGGGGCAACCCUGAUCCAGCCAUGCCGCGUGAGUGAUGAAGGCCUUAGGGUCGUAAAGCUCUUUCGCCUGUGAAGAUAAUGACGGUAGCAGGUAAAGAAACCCCGGCUAACUCCGUGCCAGCAGCCGCGGUAAUACGGAGGGGGUUAGCGUUGUUCGGAAUUACUGGGCGUAAAGCGCACGUAGGCGGACUGGAAAGUUGGGGGUGAAAUCCCAGGGCUCAACCCUGGAACUGCCUCCAAAACUAUCAGUCUAGAGUUCGAGAGAGGUGAGUGGAAUUCCGAGUGUAGAGGUGAAAUUCGUAGAUAUUCGGAGGAACACCAGUGGCGAAGGCGGCUCACUGGCUCGAUACUGACGCUGAGGUGCGAAAGUGUGGGGAGCAAACAGGAUUAGAUACCCUGGUAGUCCACACCGUAAACGAUGAAUGCCAGUCGUCGGGUAGCAUGCUAUUCGGUGACACACCUAACGGAUUAAGCAUUCCGCCUGGGGAGUACGGUCGCAAGAUUAAAACUCAAGGAAUUGACGGGGGCCCGCACAAGCGGUGGAGCAUGUGGUUUAAUUC
rnacentral:rRNA from 1 species